rnacentral:rRNA from 1 species
GUCGGGGGAUGCGAGCGUUAUCCGGAAUUAUUGGGCGUAAAGCGUCCGCAGGUGGCACUUCAAGUCUGUCGUCAAAGACUGGGGCUUAACCCUGGAAAGGCGGUGGAAACUGAAGCGCUAGAGUGCGGUAGGGGUAGAGGGAAUUCCCGGUGUAGCGGUGAAAUGCGUAGAGAUCGGGAAGAACAUCGGUGGCGAAAGCGCUCUACUGGACCGCAACUGACACUCAGGGACGAAAGCUAGGGGAGCGAAUGGG